AAAGUGUUAAGUUAUUAUAGACUAUAGUAUUUCAAGUAUUAAAGAGAGUUUUUUCACACUUUG
rnacentral:tRNA from 1 species